rnacentral:sRNA from 1 species
CCCGGGCGGACGAGCACGAACACACGUAUCAAGAUAAAGAGGAAGUUGUCUUAUGGAUGAAUACUGUUGGUCCCUACCAUAAUCGUCAAGAAACAUAUAAGUACUUUUCACUUCCAUUCUGUGUGGGGUCAAAAAAAAGUAUCAGUCAUUACCAUGAAACUCUGGGAGAAGCACUUCAAGGGGUUGAAUUGGAAUUUAGUGGUCUGGAUAUUAAAUUUAAAGGUAAGUAAACCUUAAUAGUCCUUACAAUGCAAUUUGGAUUGUAGACAAGGGUUUCAUAUUUUGGCACUAUUGACACUGGUGUUGGAUAAUUCUUUGUUGUAUGGAGCUGUUAUGUACAUGUUAGGAUGUCUAGCAGAGUCCCUGGCCUGUACCCCCCAGAUGCCAGUAGCACCUUCCAGUUGUGAAAACCAAAAAAGUCACCAGACAUUGCUAAUUGCUGUCAGUUGAGAACCACUACUUUAGACUCUAAAAUGUGUUUUAGUCUGUAAAUGAGGUGUAUUGCAUUUAG